rnacentral:rRNA from 1 species
AGGACGAACGCUGGCGGCGUGCUUAACACAUGCAAGUCGAGCGGAGAAUAUAGCAAUAUAUCUUAGCGGCGGACGGGUGAGUAACGCGUGGGCAAUCUGCCUCAUACAGGGGGAUAACACUGGGAAACUAGUGCUAAUACCGCAUAAAAUAGUGAAGUGGCAUCACUUUACUAUCAAAGGAGCAAUCCGGUGUGAGAUGAGCCCGCGUCCGAUUAGCUAGUUGGAGGGGUAACGGCCCACCAAGGCGACGAUCGGUAGCCGAACUGAGAGGUUGAUCGGCCACAUUGGGACUGAGACACGGCCCAGACUCCUACGGGAGGCAGCAGUGGGGAAUAUUGCGCAAUGGGGGAAACCCUGACGCAGCAACGCCGCGUGAAGGAUGAAGGUUUUCGGAUUGUAAACUUCUUUGAUUGGGGACGAUAAUGACGGUACCCAAAAAACAAGCCACGGCUAGCUACGUGCCAGCCGCUGC